CCUUAUCUUAUCAACUAGAGACUUGGAUCUUAACGGCCAAACUAUAAAAAUGGGGUGCUCGGUCUCUUCCCAUAGAAUGAUAUGCAAGUAAGACUCAACAACCGUGGGACCCACACAACCCUCAACUUCCCAGCCGCCAUGACCGUGAGGAAGAAAUCCCUAACUUUUAUUAAUUGUUCAGCCUGGGCUAGUUUGUUACAGUAACUCGAAGUACAGACGUAAAUGCUAAUCUCAGCUUCUGAUGUUACUAAAAUGGGUCAUGGCAAGAAACUCUAGGUGACGAUGCACAGGUACCAUUUUUUCAGCUCUGCCUCCUAAUUGGUUGUGUUGUGGUCCAUCAGGAGAGGGAAUAGAUGGUCAUGAGCCACCAUGCGGUUGCUGGGAUUGAACUCAGGACCUCUGGAAGAACAGCCAGUGCUCUUAACCACUGAGCCAUCUCACCAGCCCCCAUUGUAACUCUUUAGUACAUUCUUAACUGCAUGUUGAAAAUGUUUAGAGCCCUUUUACACACAGAGUCCGUGAAGCAUCCCCACGCAUCCAUCAGACUCAGCUGAAUGUGUCGUGAGUGCUAAAGACCCAAUUCCUAUGAUGGCUACUAGGGUGACAAUCAUAAGCAAAACAAAAAUUCUUGCCUGGGAGUAGGAAUGUAGCUAUGCAAACAGAAAGUACAGCCGUGGAAGAUGGCCCUAAAGGCAGCCGCCCCAGGGAGAUGAGACCACAGGAGCUGGUAAGACUUUCAACCAGAACCCAACCUCCAUCCCUCCAAGAAAGCUGAGCUAGGUCACCACUGACCUGGCAUGAAUAGGAGCCAUUCAGCAAGAUGGGGACCCGGAAGACAUUGUAGAAGGGCAUGGUUGUGCAUAAAGACGAGAGAGAUCAUGAUGUGGAAGAAAAGGCGGGCAGGAGCAGAAGGGUGAGACGGAGUCAACGACAGUGCUAGAACCCGGAUGCUGGGCUAGGUUUUCCAGCCUUUCUUCAAGAGGCUGGUGAUCCUCAAAAUGGAGCAGAGAUUAAGAAUUUAUAUUUAUUUAUGUUGUGGUUUUGGAGGCUUCUAACUUAAUGCCUGUUUGUUUUUUAACUUUAUGCUGUUUGUAGUUUGUUGGGGUUUGGGGGCUUGGGUUUUGGUUUUGGUUUUGACAAUGUCUCAUUACGGAAUCAUAGCCAGCCUGGAACUUGCUGUGUAGACCAGAUUGGCUUUGAACUCAGAGAGUUCCACCUGCCGCUCUCUAUUGAGUGCUAAGAUUAAAGAUGUGCAUCACCC